rnacentral:pre_miRNA from 1 species
UAUAUACUCCUUCCGUCCGGAAAUACUUGUCAUCAAAAUGGAUAAAAGAGAUGUAUUUUAGUUUUAGAUACAUCCCUUUUUGUCCAUUUUGAUGACAAGUAUUUUCGGACGGAGGGAGUAUAAU